AAUUGUUUUUGUAAGUACGUCGCAAACUACGUGGAUUUGGAACAUAGACCUCAUAUGGAGACCGACCAUUUUCAAUCACCCAUAUGGUACCGGAUUCUGCGAUUCUCAGUAUUGACAUUAGACCCUGAGCUACCACAUACGGACUAAUUCUGUUCGAGAUUUUUUACGAAGUCCGCCUUCAUAACACGAGAAAGUAAUCUGUUUGGACUGUUCACUGUGAGGGCGGUUUCUGUCAGACCAGGACACAGAGUUAUCACACGAACGCCAGUCUUUUCGUACUGGCUGAUUAUAAUCUCUGAAGGAAAGCAAACGAUAUACGAAAUAAAAAACAAAUUAAGGUAUUGAGAAUGAAUGAUAUUUAAUAAUAAAUCUCAUCAUCAUCAGUCAUUUUUCUUUUUUCUUUUUUUUAUAUUAACAACUAAUAAUAACAAAUAUUUUAACGACAGUACUUUUAAAAUUACGAAAUGUAUAUCAUUCGAUUAGUUCAGACAAAUAAAUA